CAAUUAAUUAAGAAACUAUGUACAGGAUGUAUUUUAAUAGUCAGUUCCAUAUUAACAAUGUACAGGGAUACUGGAGUGAUGGAGGUAGAUAUGUAUAGGGGGAAGGGGACAGGGAUACUGGAGUGAUGGAGAUAGAUAUGUAUAGGGGGAAGGAGACAGGGAUACUGGAGUGAUGGAGGUAGAUAUGUAUAGGGGGAAGGAGACAGGGAUACUGGAGUGUUGGAGGUAGAUAUGUAUAGGGGGAAGGAGACAGGGAUACUGGAGUGAUGGAGGUAGAUAUGUAUAGGGGGAAGGAGACAGGGAUACUGGAGUGAUGGAGGUAGAUAUGUAUAGGGGGAAGGAGACAGGGAUACUGGAGUGAUGGAGGUAGAUAUGUAUAGGGGAAUGAGACA